rnacentral:rRNA from 1 species
GACGAACGCUGGCGGCGUGCUUAACACAUGCAAGUCGAGCGGAGCGGCGGACGGGGGAGUAAUGCCUAGGAAUCUGCCUGGUAGUGGGGGAUAACGUCCGGAAACGGGCGCUAAUACCGCAUACUAUCAGAUGAGCCUAGGUCGGAGUUGCUAGUUGGUGGGGUAAAGGCCUACCAGGGCGACGAUCCGUAACUGGUCUGAGAGGAUGAGCAGUCAAACUGGAACUUAGACACGGUGCAGACUCCUACGGGAGGCAGCAGUGGGGAAUAUUGGACAAUGGGCGAAAGCGUGAUCCAGCCAUGCCGCGUGUGUGAAGAAGGUCUUAGGAUUGUAAAGCGCUUUAAGUUGGGAGGCGUUACCAACAGAAUAAGCACCGGCUAACUUCGUGCCAGCAGCCGCGGUAAUAC